AUGUCUUCCUCCUCUGCCUCCGGUGCCUUCUCCUCAAACCUCAAUAGCCAGGUCACGGAGAAGUUGUCCCGCACGAACUACGUGCUAUGGCGAACGCAGAUCACCCCCCAACUGCGUGGCGCCGGCGUCUACGGCUACGUCGACGGCACCACACCGGAGCCGGCGAAGCUCCUCAUCACCACCAAAGAAGGCAAUGAGACUUCAUCACCCAACCCUCUCCACCCUCUCUGGGUCCGGGAGGACCAGCAGGUCCUUGGCUUCCUGCUGGCCAACCUCACAAAGGAGGUUCUGGUGACGGUGACCACGGUC
rnacentral:rRNA from 1 species